UACGUAGGGUGCGAGCGUUGUCCGGAUUUAUUGGGCGUAAAGAGCUCGUAGGCGGUUUGUCGCGUCGGCCGUGAAAUCUCCACGCUUAACGUGGAGCGUGCGGUCGAUACGGGCAGACUUGAGUUCGGUAGGGGAGACUGGAAUUCCUGGUGUAGCGGUGAAAUGCGCAGAUAUCAGGAGGAACACCGGUGGCGAAGGCGGGUCUCUGGGCAACAACUGACGCUGAGACUCGAAAGCAUGGGGAGCAAACAGG
rnacentral:rRNA from 1 species